CCCGCCGGAGUCCGCGGCGGUCCUCGGGGAACGCCGAGCUGCGUGUCCCCAGCUCGAGGCAGCGUGAGCCUUUGCGUGCCCCCGGGGCGCCGCCCAAAGCCUUCGCUGCCUCUGGCUCCCCAGCUCAGCAGCCUGAGAGGUCCCCGGGUGCCCUCGCGCUCCUCCUCGAACCCGAAGAGACCCUCCCCCGUGGGGAGAUGUCCGUGGCAUCCAGAAGCGGCAGCCUAGCUUCUCAUUGGCGUCCACACCCCUGUCCUGCGGAGGCCAUGUCGUCAGCCACUCCCUCUCGCUGCUGGCCAUCGGAUGCUGAGGCUAUCGUCGCCCCUCCAUUUUUUGAUAUCCUUACAUGCCCUACUUUGAAAUCCCUGGCCCCUGAAGGUUUCGCAAUGGACCCUGUCAAGAGUUCCAUCUGCGGUUUUUCAUAUACCGGACUCUGAGACGCUCCACGAUCUCAGUUCAGACAGUCCUUGUUCUGCCAUUCAUUCUAUAAACAUUCAGACAGAGCCUUCCUGGUGCACCUGUUUGCCACGCCCAGGAUCCACCUUCACCGAGCUGACAUUUUUCUACCAAAGAUAGAAACAUCUAUAUAGCACUUAAUAGGUGAUAGCAGACGCGGUUCAAACAGUGGUGCCACAGAAACCAUGGACUGAAACCUCUGAAACUGUGAGCAAUAAUACACCCUUCCUCCUUUAAGUUGCUCUUAGUGAAUGAAAGCUGAUCCACACGUGCCUCCAGAGUGCUCCUGGGAGGUGAGGCGUGCAAAACCAGACCUAGCAGAGGACACAGCCAGGGCAGUCCACCGCUGGAAGUGGGAUGCUCUCCUUGUUGGCAUCUGACACAUUCCAAAGGAUCUCACUGGCUGCACAAGAACAUAGACGGCAGGGCACAGUACAUGGUGGCUUAGGAAGCAGAGGCAGGCAGCAGCUUAUAAGAAACAGUUUUAAGUUCACGUAAUGAAAAGUUGGCUCUAGGACCAUUGUCUUCAUCCCCCUUCUUUCCAAGAUCACUGUAUACUCCCUUUGUCUUCACGUUUGUUACCUUGUGACUCAAAGGCUGCUGUGCUGUUACAUCUUUACCAUAUCAAGCAAGGGAAGGAAGGUAUAAAAGAACCUAUUUUUAAAAUCAGUUUAUUAUAUCCUUCUAUAAUGAAGGAAAGAUUUUGUUCAGAACUCUUAAACUUUUGAUUUUUUUUUACUUUAAAACAUUUAUUUACUUUAAGAUUUAUUUUUCAUGGCCUGUGGAGAUAGCUCCAUGGGUAAGAGCACUGGCUGUUCUUCUAGAGGAUGGGGGUUGAAUUCCCAGCACCUACAUGGCAGCUCAUGCUGUCUAUAACUCCAGUCACAGGGGAUCCAAUGCCUUCUAGCCUCCAAGGGCACUGAAUGAAAAUGGUACAACAAACAAACAUUCAGACAAAUACUCAUACAAUGAAAUAAAAAAUAAAAUCUCAACAAAUUAAAAUUUUAAAAUAUUUUUGAGGUUGGAUGUGAUGGACACAUCCUUUAAUCUAGACACUCAGUUGGCAGAGGCAGGUUUGUCUUUGUGAGUUUAAGUCCAGCCUCAUCUGUGUUCAAGUUCAACCUUGUCUACACAGCAAGUUCCAAACCAACCAGACCUACAUAGUGAGACUCUGUCCAAAAAAUAAUAAUAAUUUUGUUUUUAAUUAUAUGUGUAACACUGUCUGCAUAUGGGUACGUGUGGAUCUUAUGGCCCUGGAUCUAGACAGGCAGUUAUAAACAAUCUACUGUGGGUAUUCCACUGUGGGUAUUUGCCAGUCCAUUUAUUUACUUCCCCACAUCACCAAUUUCCUAUCUCUCCAGGAAAGCUAAACACCACUGAGUAGCUGGCAUUGUUGGUGUUGUAUAAUAGUUUCCUCCAGAUUGAAACAUUCUUUCCUUCAGAGAAGUGUGGUCGGACUUUUUGUCAGGCCAUUGGCUCCCCAGUAAUGACAAGGAGACUUAUUGUUAAUUAUGAAACAUUGGCCAAUAGCUUAGGCUUGCUUUCAGCUAGCUCUUAUAACUUAAAUUAACCCAUUUCUAUUAAUCUAUGUGGUGCCCCAAGGCUUGUUUACCUCAUCUAUGUACUGUCUAUCCUGCAUUCCUGCCUCCUCAAUGUCUACCCUAUCCUCUGUGCCUGGAAAUCCUGCCUAGCUAUUGGCCAUUCAACUUUUUUAUUAAACUAAUCCAAGUGACACAUCUUCACAGUGUACAAAAAGAUUAUCCCACAAUAUUUCCCUCCUUUUGUCUAAGUAAAAAAGGAAAUGUUUUAACUCUAACACAAUAAAACUAUAUAGGUACAUGGAUUUUUCUUUGGGCAGCCAGCUCCAAAAUAAUGACAUGGAGAUUUCUUGUUAAUUAUAGCUCAGUCUUAAUUUAGGUUUGUUUCUAAUUAGUUCUUAGAACUUAAAUUAACCCAUAUUUUUUAAAUCUACGUUCACUUGUGUGGCUCAAUACCUCAUCUCUCUGUACUGCCCAUCUUGCUUCCUCUGAGCUGACUGGCAACUCUGCCUUUCUUCUUCGCAGAGUCCUCUCUGUUCCUGAAAGUCCCAUCUAACCUCUUUCUGCCUAGCUAUUGGCCAUUCAGCUCUUUAUUAAACCAAUCAGAAGGCACCUUGGCAAAAGACACAUCUUCACUGUGUAAACAAAUAUUCCUCAACAUUAAAACAGAAGUUUUUUUGUUUGUUUGUUUGGGUUUUUUUAGUUUUGUUUCUGUUGUUUUUGGAUUUUUUGAGACAGGGUUUCUCCGUGUAGUUUUGGUGCCUGUCCUGGAUCUCACUCUGUAGACCAGGCUGGCCUCAAACUCACAGAGAUCUGCCUGCCUCUGCCUCCCAAGUGCUGAUAUUAAAGGUGGGCAUCACCACUGUCCGGCAAGAGAAGAUUCUAUUAACUAGAUAGAAUAUAAGAUAGGUUUACAAAAAAUUUAGCCACAGAAAAUACAAAUCAAUUGUAAACACUUGAUAAUUUUCAAAAAUUUUUGGGAGAUAUUAACUGGCUACAGCCCACAAUUGGAUUGCAACUCAAGAACUAAGUAAUUUAUUUCAAACCUUACAAGGUGAUAAGGACUUAAAUAAUCCAAGAAAAUUAUCAGCUGAGGUUGAGAAAAAAUUGGCAUUGGUAGAAAAGAAAUUACAGGAUGCACAUGUGGAUCAGUUGGAUCUAGAGCUUGAUUGUAUUCUGGUUAUUUUAUCUUCUACACAUUUUCCUACAGGAAUUCUUAGCAGAGAGAAGAUAAUGUUCUGGAAUGGAUAUUUUUGUCACACAAACAGUAAAAAAUUACAGACCUAUGUAGAAAAGGUUUCUGAAUUGACUCUGAAAGGAAAAUUAAGGUUAUGUUGAUUAAUAGGAAUAGACCCAGUAGAAAUUGUGGUACUUUUACUGAUGCUGAAAUUCACUCAUUAUGGACAGAAAAUGAACAUUGGCAAAAAGCUUGAAGUAAUUUGUUAAGAGAUUAGCAACAAAUAUCCCAAAAGCAAGAGAAUUCAGUUUACAAAGAGAACUAAUUUGAUCCUUACAUUGUAUGAUGAACACCGAUUUCUGGAGACCCUAUAUUCUAUACUGAUGCAAAUAAAUCAGGAAAUGUGUAUUAUAAGUCAGGAAAUUUAAGUAAAGUGACUCAAAGUCCUUAUGAUUCUGUUCAAAAGUCAGAAUGAUAUGUUAUUCUCAUGAUAUUGUUAGAUUUCUCAAAACCUCUUAAUAUAGUUACUGACUCUCAAUAUGCAGAAAGAGUUGUAUUAUAUAUUUAAAUAGCUGAACUUAUUCCAGAUGAUUCAGAAUUAGUUUUGUUAUUCAUUCAAUUACAAGAAAUAAUCAGAAAUAGAAAUCAUCCUUUGUAUAUAACACAUAUCAGAUCCCAUACGGGUCUACCACAAGGUAAUGAUGAAAUUAAUCAGAUAUUGGUAGGAAAUGUGCUUGAAGCCUCAGAAUUUCAUAAUAAAGCACUAUGUUAAUAGCAAGGGUUGAAGAAAGAUUUUUCUAUCACUUGACAACAAGCCAAGGAAAUUAUGAAGAAAUGUCUUACUUGUUCUUUGUGUAACCAAACGUCACUACCUGUAUGAAGUAACCCAAAGGGUUCUCAAAGAAAUGAAAUUUGGCAAAUGGAUGUGUUUCAUUUUGCAGAGUUUAGAAAAUUAAAAUAUGUAUACCAUACCAUAGAUACAUAUUCAGGAUUUCAAUGGGCAGCUGCUUGAGUUCUGAAAAGGCUGAUUCUGUAAUCACACAUUUGUUAGAAGUUAUGGUCAUUAUGUGGAUACCUGCACAAAUUAAGACUGACAAGGUUCCUGCAUAUGUCUCUAGUAAAAUGAAACAGUUUUUUUCAUGUUACAACAUAAAGUAUAUUCCAGGUAUACUACAUGAUCCUAAGAGCAAGCAGGUGUAGAAAGAUCUAAUUGAACUUUAAAAGAUAUACUUAAUAAACAGAAAGGGGUAAUAAAGAUCCCCAGAGAUAGAUUGCACAAUGCUUUAUUAACUUUAAAAUUUUUUUUUUUUUUUGGUUUUUCGAGACAGGGUUUCUCUGUGUAGUGUUGCGCCUUUCCUGGAUCACACUUGGUAGCCCAGGCUGGCCUCGAACUCACAGAGAUCCACCUGGCUCUGCCUCCCAAGUGCUGGGAUUAAAGGCGUGCGCCACCACUGCCCGGCAACUUUAAAAUUUUUAAAUGCUAAUGAGAAAGGAAUGGCAGCUUCGGAGAGACAUUGGACAGUAGAAAAAAACUGCUGAAUUAAGUCAGCCUGUGUACUUUAAAGAUGUGUUGACCUCAGAAUGGAAACCAGGAUAUGUGCUAUGUUGGGGAAGAGGUUUUGCUUUUGUUUCCACAGGAGAAGAAAAGCUAUAGAUACUAUCAAAAUUGAUAAAGAUUAGAUUCAAACAGGAGAGCCCUCUUGAUUAGAAGAGUCAAUAGUUCAUCAAACAGUGUGGCCAUUCAAACUAAACUAACUUAUAAGACUACCAAAUGCCUUUCAUUUGAUCAGAUAUAACUUACCAAAAAGGGAACCUUCCCAAAAUUGGGGUUGGAGCAGAGUUUUGUGUGUCUUUCCAGGAGAAUGAAGCAUCCAACUAAGGAAUCUGAAGACCACUGGACAAAUGAGACAUCUGAAGAAAGAGGAUGAAUCAUCCAGAGAAAAUAUCCCAUGAAAAAGAGUAAAUUGGCCUAAUGAUAUAGCACAUUUCCAACAGGAUAAAAUAUUAUAAACCUUCCCAAAUGUUUGUUUCUGCAGUUCUCUACAGACAUAUAAGGCAUAUGGUCUUUUUAUAGUCCCAGUUGAAUUGAAAAUUAAAGCUGGCUUUGGGGUUGGAGCAUGGCUCUCUCCUUCUCUAAACCUAAACAUGUCUGUUAAAGGAAAAUCCAAAAUCUCUGUCUCAUGUGAGAAGAGCCACCUGGUAAGGGACAGAAGAAAAAUCAAAAUUAAAGGAUUAUUUUAUUGCUACUAAUCUCAUAAUCCUUUGGUUUUGACUCUUUAAAACUUUUCUUAAGGUAUAAAUAUUAUCUCAAAAAUUUAUAAGAUUAAUAUAUACAUAUAUAAUAUGUAUAUAUUUCUCCGGUCCCGCCAAGCCCCUACAGUCCUGUGGCCCACUUAUAAAAUAAUCACUCAGAAGCUUAUAUUAAUUAAACUGCCCAGCCAUUAGCUCAGGCUUAUUACUGACUAGCUCUUACACUUAAAUGAACCCAUAAUUCUUAUAUAUGUUGAGCCACACGGCUUGGUACCUUUUCUCAGUUCUGCCUUGUCAUCUUGCUUCCUCUGUGUCUGGCUGGAGACUCCUGACUCAGCCUUCCUUUUCCCAGAACUCUACUAGUCUGCUUAUCUCACCUAUACCUCUUGCCUGGCUACUGACCAAUCAACAUUUUAUUAAACCAGUGUACAAGAGCCUUAUCCCACAACAUAUAUAUUUAAACUUUCUGUCAUGUCAUUAAUGGUCAUAUAGAGUACUAACAAAUUCUAGAAAAAAAGCUUCAUCUAGCUUCCUGUACAUGAUUUCAGGCUUGAGCCUGAAUCAGGUAACUAGGAAUUAAGUUUGUGUACCACAGAUGUACUUAACAAAUUGUGAUCCUUUAACCUCUCCAAGAUCUGCUGCAUAUGACAUUUAAAAUGUUUAAGUUGGGGGCUGGUGAGAUGGCUAAGUGCUUAAGAGCACUGGUUGUUCUUCCAGAGGUCCUGAGUUCGAUUCCCAACAACUACAUGGUGGCUCACAACCAUCUAUAAUGAGAUCUGAUGCCCUCUUCUGGCAUGCAGGCAUACAUGCAGACAGAACACUCAUAAAUAAAUAAGUAAAUAAAUAAAUAAUGAAAUAUUUAAGUUUUCUGCAGUGAACUGUGACCAUUCCUAACAGUGACUUUUGAAGUCUCCAAAAGGAUGAUGGAGCCCCACAAUAACAAUUCCACCUGGAUUGUGGUAAUGCCACUAAGCUGAUAAACACCACCCAGAGAUCAGCUUUGGACUGCAAACUGCUCAGGACAAUUUCAAGGUGGCUAGCUGAGAUGAUCCAGCCUCAUGCACUACUCCAGCCAGGACUUCAGAUAAGCCCUACACUUUCCCACUACACAGAGACUGGCAACAAAUGAUGCAGCCAGCUCUCCCAGAACUUAACCAUUACCUCAAUUUUCUCAGGAUCCCCUCGAGAUGCCGUCGCCCUCUCAGACAACAGGAAGCAGUCUAGAGAACAUGAUGUCCACAUUUCCAAGAGAUGGGUGAGUGGUUUUUGGUCAUUCAGUGGGUUAUGGAUAUUUAUCAUAAUUUAGGGGGAUUUGUUACAAGUUGUUAUUGGUAAUGAUUAGGGGAAAAAAAGCUGAACAAAGGAGAUUAGAUUUAGGAUCUCAUUCUGAAAAGAAAAAUGAGGAAAUGAUAGAUAAAAGAGUAGAUAAUUGAAUCUACUUUUAAACUAAAAAAGUAACUACCAGUCUUAAAUACUUUACAAUGGUAUAGAUUUUUGUAUAUUGAUACAAAUUUAAGGUUAUUUUUUUUAGAACAUACUGUACAUACAUUUCUACUCUUUUUUUGGGGGGGAGGGCUCAAGACAGGGUUUCUCUGUGUAGUUUUGGUGUCUGUCCUGGAUCUCACUCUGUAGACCAGGCUGGCCUUGAACUCACAGAGAUUCGCCUGCCUCUGCCUCCCGAGUGCUGGGAUUAAAGACGUGGGCCACUGCCACCUGGCUUACAUCUUUACUCUUGUUUAAGGUAUUGUACCUUAUGCAGCUCAUUUUAAAAUGUAAUGUAGAGUUGGAGUCCUUAAAGGCUAUUAUUAUAAACUCUUUAAGAUAAUUAAGACAGCUGGGCAGUGGUGGCACAUCCCUUUAAUCCCAGCACUCGGUAGGCAGAGUCAGGUGGUUCUCUGUGAGUUUGAAGGCAGCCUGGGCCACAGAAUGUGGUGAUAUUUUAUUUGUGCUUUAAUAAAUAAAGUUUUCCUGGAGAUCAAAGGAAAUAGCAAGCCAUUUUAGGUAAACACAAAAGCCAGGCAGUGGUAGCACACGGCCUUAAUCCUAUCACUUAGCGGGCAGGGUCUCUGUAUAUUCAAGGCCACACUGGGGAACAGAGCCAAGCUUGGUGACACACGCUCUUAAUCCUAGUACCAACCAUAGAAACCUGGAAGUCUGUACAGACAGGCAGUGACAAGGAAGUGAGGUAGCUGGGCUAAGAGCCAAAGAGAGGGCAGAACAGCAAGGCAAUAAAGGCACAGGUAGACAGAAAGUAGCUCACAUUUGGAAGCAGCAGAGUUGGUGAGUUAAGGUUGGCUGGUGGCUUCUCUAAUCUCUAAGUCUUUCACUCCUAUAUUUGGCUCCAUGUUUUUUAUUUAAUAAGACCAUUUAGAAAUUCGUCUACAAUAGAGCAAGUUCCAGGACAGGCACCAGAAAGCUACACAGAGAAACGCUGUCUCAGAAAGAAAAAGAAAAAAGAUAAUUAAGACAUGUAGGUUAGUAGUUAGUCAUCUAUAACAAUCAAAUUUGUGGCCAUGUUAGGUAUGUUUUUAAGGUCAAAUGGAGAUGUAUAUGAAAUAGACAGGUGGUUUUCAAACACUUCAGAGAUCUAGAGAAUAUGACAUUUAAGAUGUUUCAAUAACAUAAGGCUUUUUAUGACAAUGAGACACAUCUGCUCCUGGCAGCACCAAUAUACUUCAGAGAAGAUGAUGGACAUCAAAGCACCUCCAUAUGGAGUUUGCUUUAAUUGUGGCAAAGUUAGCCACUGGACAAGAAACUGCCCUUGCCUCGACUGCUGACAAUGUGCUGUACAAAUUGAACAAGCAAGACACAAAAGAAAGUAACUGCCAAACUUUGCCAAGACAAGGCAGGACAGCCCUUCAAAAUUCCUGCUUCACAGAAAAGUCUGUCAGAUAUUCUAGGCACAUAGGCCAAAGACAGAUUCCCCAACCUUGCAGGGGAACCUUGGGUGACUAUCCAGGCAGCCCGCUGUUCCUGUCAUUUCUAUAGUUUUGGAAGUUGCUUGCACUGCACUUUCUGUUUGUGGGUGACAUUAUAUCCUUCUCAGGUCUCUGAUGGAGUUGAAGACUAGAUAGUUAUAGUUACAGUUUUCCUUGUUACCAAAUUCAGAAAAGAAACUUACAAAAGAGGUAUAAAGUAUAUAAGGUUGAAAGACAUAAAAGUCUAGAUUGUUUAUCUAAGAAAAAAUUUUGAGGCCUAAAAAAGAUAGUUUUGGGUUGGUAAUACAAGUCAGGAUAGAAAGUGAAUUAGGUACAAAACUUUGGACUCACUAAGAUACAAUAGCUAAAACAGUACUUUCUCUGAUUUGCCAAAUACAAAUGGACUGGAUAUUGUAAAUGUAAUUCUUACCUGGUAAUUGUUCUUAUUGUACAUAGUUUUACUAUGUUAGAGUUAAAACCCUUCCUUUUUACUUAGACAAUACCUGAUAAUUGUCCUCAUUGUAUAUAGUUUUACUGUGUUAGAGUUAAAAGCUUUCUCUUUUAUUUAGACAAAAAUGGGGAAAUGUUGCAAAAUUGUUUACACUGUGAAGACGAGUCUUUACCAAGGCACCUUCUGAUUAUUUUAAUAAAGAGCUGAAUGGCCAAUAGCUAGGCAGGAAGAGGUUAGGUGGGACUUCCAGGGACAGGGAAAACUCUGGGAAGAAGAAAAGCAGAGUCGACAGCCAGUGCAGAGGAAGGAAGAUGGACAAGACAGAUGAGGUAUUGAGCCACACACCUGAAUGUAGAUUUAAAAACAUGGGUUCAUUUACGUUAUAAGAACUAGUUAGGAACAAAUCUAAGCUAAGGCCGAGCUUUCAUAAUUAAUAAGAAGUCUCCCUGUCAUUAUUUGUGAACUGGUGGCCCAAAGGAAAAUCCAUCUACACUCUUUAAGCAGGAGGGUAAACAACUCAAAAUAGCUUCAGGAAGUCCCUGAAACUGACCAAAUUGACUAGGCCCUCCCUGUCUGAGUAAGCAAUAAAGACUGAUGAGAGUUGCGCUCAGACUAGCCAAGUGGCAAAGAUGGUAGACCAGACCAGACACUUGGAAGAAGAACCAGCUGGGCUGUCUGGAAGAGGUUUACACCACUGUCACCUGGAAAGGACAUUCUCCAACCUGCUGAGCUGCCUACUGGCUGUACAGAGUGCUCUAGGUUUCCCAGCUCUGUGAGCUGUCACCCAUGCUGAUGUGGACCUUGGCAAUGCAGUUAUCUUUGAGUCAUUUCUGUGCCUGUAAGGAACCCUCACCUGAACAUUUGUAAGUAACCUGAAUAAAACGCAUUGGUUCACCAAGCUGGA